rnacentral:rRNA from 1 species
CGACCGCUGGCGGCGUGCUUAACACAUGCAAGUCGAACGGAAAGGCCCCUUUGGGGGUACUCGAGUGGCGAACGGGUGAGUAACACGUGAGUAACCUGCCCUUGACUUCGGGAUAACUUCAGGAAACUGGGGCUAAUACCGGAUAGGAAUCCUUGCUGCAUGGUGGGGGUUGGAAAGCUUCGGCGGUUUUGGAUGGACUCGCGGCUUAUCAGCUUGUUGGUGGGGUAGUGGCUUACCAAGGCUUUGACGGGUAGCAGGCCUGAGAGGGCGACCGGCCACAUUGGGACUGAGAUACGGCCCAGACUCCUACGGGAGGCAGCAGUGGGGAAUAUUGCACAAUGGGCGGAAGCCUGAUGCAGCAACGCCGCGUGCGGGAUGACGGCCUUCGGGUUGUAAACCGCUUUCAGCAGGGGCGAAGCUUGUGGUGACGGUACCUGCAGAAGAAGCACCGGCUAACUACGUG